rnacentral:rRNA from 1 species
UACGAAGGGGGGCUAGCGUUGCUCGGAAUCACUGGGCGUAAAGCGCACGUAGGCGGAUUGCUAAGUCAGGGGUGAAAUCCUGGAGCUCAACUCCAGAACUGCCUUUGAUACUGGAGACCUUGAGUUGGGGAGGGAUGAGCGGAAUUCCUGGUGUAGCAGUGAAAUGCGUAGAGAUCAGGAGGAACACCGGUGGCGAAAGCGGCUCAUUGGCCCUACACUGACACUAAAGCACGAGAGCGUGGGGAGCAAACAGG